GACGAACGCUGGCGGCGUACCUAAUACAUGCAAGUUGAGCGCUGAAGGUUGGUACUUGUACCAACUGGAUGAGCAGCGCACGGGUGAGUAACGCGUGGGGAAUCUGCCUUUGAGCGGGGGACAACAUUUGGAAACGAAUGCUAAUACCGCAUAAAAACUUUAAACACAAGUUUUAAGUUUGAAAGAUGCAAUUGCAUCACUCAAAGAUGAUCCCGCGUUGUAUUAGCUAGUCGGUGAGGUAAAGGCUCACCAAGGCGAGGAUACAUAGCCGACCUGAGAGGGUGGUCGGCCACAGUGGGACUGAGACACGGCCCAAACUCCUACGGGAGGCAGCAGUAGGGAAUCUUCGGCAAUGGACGAAAGUCUGACCGAGCAACGCCGCGUGAGUGAAGAAGGUUUUCGGAUCGUAAAACUCUGUUGGUAGAGAAGAACGUUGGUGAGAGUGGAAAGCUCAUCAAGUGACGGUAACUACCCAGAAAGGGACGGCUAACUACGUG
rnacentral:rRNA from 1 species